rnacentral:rRNA from 1 species
UGGGGAAUAUUGGACAAUGGGCGAAAGCCUGAUCCAGCCAUGCCGCGUGUGUGAAGAAGGCCUUUUGGUUGUAAAGCACUUUAAGCGAGGAGGAGGCUACUUGGAUUAAUACUCUAGGAUAGUGGACGUUACUCGCAGAAUAAGCACCGGCUAACUCUGUGCCAGCAGCCGCGGUAAUACAGAGGGUGCGAGCGUUAAUCGGAUUUACUGGGCGUAAAGCGUGCGUAGGCGGCUUUUUAAGUCGGAUGUGAAAUCCCUGAGCUUAACUUAGGAAUUGCAUUCGAUACUGGGAAGCUAGAGUAUGGGAGAGGAUGGUAGAAUUCCAGGUGUAGCGGUGAAAUGCGUAGAGAUCUGGAGGAAUACCGAUGGCGAAGGCAGCCAUCUGGCCUAAUCCUGACGCUGAGGUACGAAAGCAUGGGGAGCAAACAGG